GGGGGGCUGGCGCAACGGUAGCGCGUCGGAUUCCAGUUCAGCUUCAAUACGAACCUCCCGAAGGUUACCGGUUCAAAUCCGGUGUCCCUCA
rfam:Metarhizium majus ARSEF 297 Scaffold_74, whole genome shotgun sequence.